rnacentral:rRNA from 1 species
GACGAACGCUGGCGGCGUGCUUAACACAUGCAAGUCGAACGGAAAGGCCCUGCUUUUGUGGGGUGCUCGAGUGGCGAACGGGUGAGUAACACGUGAGGAACCUGCCCUUGAAUUUGGGAUAACUUCAGGAAACUGGGGCUAAUACCGGAUAGGAGCUACUGAUGCAUGGGGGGGGUUGGAAAGUUUCGGCGGUUGGGGAUGGACUCGCGGCUUAUCAGCUUGAUGGUGGGGUAGUGGCUUACCAAGGCUUUGACGGGUAGGCGGCCUGAGAGGGUGACCGGCCACAUUGGGACUGAGAUACGGCCCAGACUCCUACGGGAGGCAGAAGUGGGGAAUAUUGCACAAUGGGGGGAAGCGUGUUGCAGCAACGUCGCGUGCGGGAUGACGGCUUUCGGGUUGUAAACCGCUUUCGCCUGUGACGAAGCGUGCUUGACGGUAAUGGGUAAAGAAGCACCGGCUAACUACGUG